UCGGGAAUUUUGGGCAAUGGGCGAAAGCCUGACCCAGCAACGCCGCGUGAAGGGUGAAGUAUUUCGGUAUGUAAACUUCGAAAGAAUAGGAAGAAUAAAUGACGGUACUAUUUAUAAGGUCCGGCUAACUACGUGCCAGCAGCCGCGGUAAUACGUAGGGACCAAGCGUUGUUCGGAUUUACUGGGCGUAAAGGGCGCGUAGGCGGCAAUUCAAGUCAUCUGUGAAAUCUCCGGGCUUAACUCGGAACGGUCAGAUGAUACUGCUUUGCUAGAGUGCAGAAGGGGCAAUCGGAAUUCUUGGUGUAGCGGUGAAAUACGUAGAUAUCAGGAGGAAUACCGGAGGCGAAGGCGGAUAGCUGGGCCAACACUGACGCUGAGACCCGAAAGCGUGGGGAUCAAACAGGAUUAGAUACCCAAGUAGUCCCUGAGCGGGCUGGCAAGGCGCAU
rnacentral:rRNA from 1 species